UACAACUUUCAGCAACGGAUGUCUAGGCUCCCACAACGAUGAAGAACGCAGCGAAAUGCGAUACGUAAUGCGAAUUGCAAGACCUCGUGAAUCAUCAAAAUUUUGAACGUACAUUGCACUGAUGGGUGACCAUUAGUAUGCCUGGUUGAGUGU
rnacentral:rRNA from 1 species